AUACGGAAGGUCCGGGCGUUAUCCGGAUUUAUUGGGUUUAAAGGGUGCGCAGGCGGCCAUUUAAGUCAGCGGUUAAAUCGUGGGGCUCAACCCCAUUCUGCCGUUGAUACUGGGUGGCUUGAUUGCGGUCGAGGUUGGCGGAAUUCGUUGUGUAGCGGUGAAAUGCAUAGAUAUGACGAAGAACACCGAUUGCGUAGGCAGCUGACCAGACCGCAAAUGACGCUCAUGCACGAAAGUGCGGGGAUCGAACAGGAUUAGAUACCCUGGUAGUCCGCACGGUAAACGAUGAAUACUUGUUUUCGGCGAUAUAAUGUCGGAGGCAAAGCGAAAGCGAUAAGUAUUCCACCUGGGGAGUACGCCGGCAACGGUGAAACUCAAAGGAAUUGACGGGG
rnacentral:rRNA from 1 species